UAGGGAAUCUUCGGCAAUGGACGAAAGUCUGACCGAGCAACGCCGCGUGAGUGAAGAAGGUUUUCGGAUCGUAAAACUCUGUUGUUAGAGAAGAACAAGGACGUUAGUAACUGAACGUCCCCUGACGGUAUCUAACCAGAAAGCCACGGCUAACUACGUGCCAGCAGCCGCGGUAAUACGUAGGUGGCAAGCGUUGUCCGGAUUUAUUGGGCGUAAAGCGAGCGCAGGCGGUUUCUUAAGUCUGAUGUGAAAGCCCCCGGCUCAACCGGGGAGGGUCAUUGGAAACUGGGAGACUUGAGUGCAGAAGCGGAGAGUGGAAUUCCAUGUGUAGCGGUGAACUGCGUAGAUAUAUGGAGGAACACCAGUGGCGAAGGCGGCUCUCUGGUCUGUAACUGACGCUGAGGCUCGAAAGCGUGGGGAGCAAACAGG
rnacentral:rRNA from 1 species